AACGAACGCUGGCGGCAGGCCUAACACAUGCAAGUCGAGCGGACCUUUCGGGGUCAGCGGCAGACGGGUGAGUAACGCGUGGGAAUAUGCCCUUCUCUACGGAAUAGUCCUGGGAAACUGGGGGUAAUACCGUAUACGCCCUUUGGGGGAAAGAUUUAUCGGGGAAGGAUUAGCCCGCGUUGGAUUAGGUAGUUGGUGGGGUAAUGGCCUACCAAGCCGACGAUCCAUAGCUGGUUUGAGAGGAUGAUCAGCCACACUGGGACUGAGACACGGCCCAGACUCCUACGGGAGGCAGCAGUGGGGAAUCUUAGACAAUGGGGGCAACCCUGAUCUAGCCAUGCCGCGUGAGUGAUGAAGGCCUUAGGGUUGUAAAGCUCUUUCAGCUGGGAAGAUAAUGACGGUACCAGCAGAAGAAGCCCCGGCUAACUCCGUG
rnacentral:rRNA from 1 species